UACGUAGGGGGCAAGCGUUGUCCGGAAUCAUUGGGCGUAAAGAGCGCGUAGGCGGUCCGGUAAGUCCGCUGUGAAAGUCAAGGGCUCAACCCUUGAAUGCCGGUGGAUACUGUCGGGCUAGAGUCCGGAAGAGGCGAGUGGAAUUCCUGGUGUAGCGGUGAAAUGCGCAGAUAUCAGGAGGAACACCAAUGGCGAAGGCAGCUUGCUGGCAUAUUUCUGACGCUAAGGCACGAAAGCGUGGGGAGCGAACAGG
rnacentral:rRNA from 1 species